ACACUUACCUAUAGAGAUUCUA
rnacentral:miRNA from 1 species